rnacentral:lncRNA from 1 species
GAUUACAAUCGCCAGAACAUGGCGGCGAUGAUUCGUGUAUCGCUACUCAGAUAAUCUAGAUUUAGCCUCAUUGGUCGAACGUUCGUCACGUGCCAAACGUUCAACCAAUCUUAUAUCAUAAUUUUAAAUUCAAAAUUCGAAGAAUACCGUUAUUGCAGAUUAACAUUCCACAACAACAAAAAUGGAAUUAAAAGAGAGCACUAAGCAAGAACUAUCCAAUUAUUUAGGAUUUUCUAGUCUUCCCAAUCAAGUUCACAGAAAAUCUGUGAGNAAAAAGA